CCCUGAUCCAGGGAGCACAGUGAGGAGAUCCUCCUCAGGUGGCGGACCCCGCCUGGGUCCCGAUCCAGGGAGCUCAGUGAGGAGAUCCUCCUCAGGUGGCGGACCCCGCCUGGGUCCCGAUCCAGGGAGCACAGUGAGGAGGCCCUCCUCAGGUGGCGGACCCCGCCUGGGUCCCGAUCCAGGGAGCACAGUGAGGAGGCCCUCCUCUCCUCCUCAGGUGGCAGACCCCGCCCGGGCCCCGAUCCAGGGAGCACAGUGAGGAGGUCCUCCUCAGGUGGAGGACCCCGCCUGGGUCCCGAUCCAGGGAGCACAGUGAGGAGGUCCUCCUCAGGUGGCGGACCCCGCCUGGGUCCCGAUCCAGGGAGCACAGUGAGGAGGUCCUCCUCAGGUGGCGGACCCCGCCUGGGUCCCGAUCCAGGGAGCACAGUGAGGAGGCCCUCCUCAGGUGGCGGACCCCGCCUGGACCCCCAAUCCAGGGAGCACAGUGAGGAGGCCCUCCUCUCCUUAGGUGUCGGACCCCGCCUGGGUCCCGAUCCAGGGAGCACAGUGAGGAGGCCCUCCUCAGGUGGAGGACCCCGCCUGGACCCCCAAUCCAGGGAGCACAGUGAGGAGGCCCUCCUCUCCUUAGGUGGCGGACCCCGCCUGGGUCCCGAUCCAGGGAGCACAGUGAGGAGGCCCUCCUCUCCUUAGGUGGCGGACCCCGCCUGGACCCCCGAUCCAGGGAGCACGGUGAGGAGGUCCUCCUCUCCUCAGGUGGCAGAC
ensembl:lncRNA